rnacentral:misc_RNA from 1 species
CAAGCUAUCCUCUGUGUAGUG